rnacentral:lncRNA from 1 species
GGAGAGUUUCCUUUUGCUGGAUGAUGCUGCCAUGCAGCAUCUUAUUCCAAAAAUUGGUCAACGUCUCAAAUUUCAAAAACAUCACAAGGAGCUUCUCCAAGCUGCCUGUUCGACAAAGGAUCAAUGUUUAUCAGAAAAGAAUGUUGAAACGGUGGCAUCGACAACUCUGCUUACUGUGGUGCUUCAUCCAGAAUUUGCGAUUCGCCAAAUGUUGGGAGGUAGCCUUGAAGGGAGAUCUAUAUUAAGCACUUUGGAUGAGAAGCAAUCAAUUACAUCCAAAGAGAGGAAGCUUCUUGUGAGACUUCUGGUAUCCCACCUUAUUGAAAAACAUGGCGAAAUGC